GAUGAACGCUGGCGGCGUGCCUAAUACAUGCAAGUCGAGCGAACGGACGAGAAGCUUGCUUCUCUGCUGUUAGCGGCGGACGGGUGAGUCACACGUGGCUAACCUACCUAUAAGACUGGGAUACCUUCGGGAAACCGGAGCUAAUACCGGAUAAUAUUUUGAACCGCAUGGUUCAUAAGUGCAAGACGGUCUUGCUGUCCCUUAUAGAUGGAUCCGCGCUGCAUUAGCUAGUUGGUACGGUAACGGCUUACCAAGGCAACGAUGCAUAGCUGACCUGAGAGGAUGAUCCGCCACACUGGAACUGAGACACGGUCCAGACUCCUACGGGAGGCAGCAGUGGGGAAUAUUCGACAAUGGGCGAAAGCCUGAUGCAGCCAUGCCGCGUGUGUGAAGAAGGUCUUCGGAUUGUAAAGCUCUUUAAGUUGGGAGGAAGGGAAGUAAGUUAAUCUGUUGCUGUUUUGACGUUACCAAAAGAAAAAGCACCGGCUAACUUCGUG
rnacentral:rRNA from 1 species